rnacentral:rRNA from 1 species
UUAUAUUUUAUUUAUUAAUUAAUUUUUUUUUUAUUAUAAAUUAUUAAAAAUAAUUAUUAAAAGUUUUGUUUGAGUAUUUUAUAAAGAAAAAAUAAUUUUAAUUAUAGUUAAAUAGUAUUGUGAAAGAAAAUUGAAAUAAUUUGAAAAAUUAAUAUUUUAAAAGAAAAUUUAAUUUAUUGUACCUUGUGUAUCAGGGUUUAUCAAAUAAAAAUUAUAUACUAUAAUUUUCUCGAUUUUAAAAGAGUUAAUAUAUUAUAAAAGUUAAUGUGACAAAAUUAUUUUGUAUAAUAUAUUGGAAAUGAAAUGUUAUUCGUUUUUAAAGGUAUCUAGUUCUUUAAGAAAUAAAUUUAAUUUAGAAAUUUUAUAUUAUUUGGUUAAAUAUAUUAGCUAAAUAAUUAUUUUAUUUUAAUAUUUUGUGGGAUAAGCUAUGAAAUAAAUUAUUAAAAAUUAUUAAAUAAUUUAAUAAAUAUAAGCUUAGAAAUAGCUAUUAUUAAUGAAAUUGUUAUAAUUUAUUUUAUAAUAUUAAUUAUUUAUUGAAUUUUAAUUAUGUAUUAAAGUAUUUAUUUUAAUUAUAAAAAUAAAAAAAUAAUGAUAAAAUUAGUAUAUUAUAUUGUAUAAAUAUGAUUAAUUGAUAAGUUUUUAUAAAGAACUCGGCAAAAAUAAUGUUCGCCUGUUUAACAAAAACAUGUCUUUUUGAAAUUUUUUUAAAGUCUAGCCUGCCCACUGAAUAAUUUAAAUGGCCGCAGUAUACUAACUGUGCAAAGGUAGCAUAAUCAUUAGUCUUUUAAUUGAAGGCUGGUAUGAAUGGUUGGACGAGAUAUUAACUGUUUCAUAAAAAUUUAUAAUAGAAUUUUAUUUUUUAGUCAAAAAGCUAAAAUAAAAUUAAAAGACGAGAAGACCCUAUAAAUCUUUAUAUAUAGAUUAUUAGAAUUUUGUAGAUUAUUUUUGUUAUAAUAAUUAAUUAUAUUUUAUUGGGGUGAUAUUAAAAUUUAAUAAACUUUUAAUUUUUGAAAUCAUUAAUUUAUGAAUAGUUGAUCCGUUAAUAACGAUUAAAAAAAUAAGUUACUUUAGGGAUAACAGCGUAAUUUUUUUGGAGAGUUCAUAUCGAUAAAAAAGAUUGCGACCUCGAUGUUGGAUUAAGAUAUAAUUUUAGGUGUAGCCGCUUAAAUUUUAAGUCUGUUCGACUUUUAAAUUCUUACAUGAUCUGAGUUCAAACCGGCGUAAGCCAGGUUGGUUUCUAUCUUUAAAAAAUUAAAAUAUUUCAGUACGAAAGGACCUAAUAUUUAAUAAAUUAUUAUUUUUAUAUUGAAUAUAAAUAAUUUAU